UGAAAUGGUGAAAACUGCUGCUCCCUGAAUAGUGAAAUAAACAAGAGGAAUUUGUAUGAUCAUGUAUUUACUUGAACAUUCCGUUUGAGAAAUAAACACAGAAAUGGAAAGCAGGGCUAGGGCCACAUGCAAAACCCCAUGUAGCUAUUUAGACUAGUGGAACUGUUUUCAGUUCGUUCAGAUUUGAUUGAUUAGUAGAGGACAGUACAAGCUUUCCAAUGGUGAAUGGCAUGUUUCAUUAGAAUUUUAGUACAAAAUUGAGAGGCCCACAGAACUGCAUGAGUGGUUCCUUCAGCACAGCAUUGUGCAUUCAGCUGUUACAUUGCUCAUUGAGGCGUAAUUGAUUUUUCCUUCGGUUUUUGAAAGAUUUUACUAAUUUUGCCAACUCAUCAGCAUGGCUAAUGCAUGGAUUUGGAGACUGGGUCAGAAGAGGAUAAGGAAGCAUGAAAUAUACAAAGAUGUACAUAUUACUGCUUGUAACAUUUCACUUAUUUACGUUGUGUCAUAUUUAUGAUAUUGUUAUAUUCACAUUGGUCGUAAAAACAACUAGUCUUUGCCAAUAAUACUCAGAACUUUAGUAUUGGGGGCUAACUAACUGGCUGAGCUGUUAGCAUAGGGGCAUUGAUAGCAUACCCUGGGCAGUGUCAGUGUAGUGGCCUGUAGUAGCCUGCGGCCUGCUUUGUUAGAAUACAUACCACUCACAAUGAAACUGAGUGUCUUUCAAGAGGUGUGCAUUACUCUCUAGUGUAAGUGUGUUUGUUGGUUGCUCAGCUGUGUUAUGUUUGAUACACUGAUUUACUGUGAAGAUAGAACAUCACAAAAAAUUUUGUGAUUAAAUAUUAUUUUAUUGUGAUAUUAUUGCACAUAAACCAGGGAACAUAAACCACUUUUUACUUCAUAGAUCUUUAGUAGUCCCGAAUAUCACCCUGAAAUUCCUGAGUGAUCCAGGACAUGUACAGUUUUACCUGUUAUGUAUAUGUGAUCUCUCGGUAUAUAUCUCUAAGAAGAACUUUUUUACAUUUUCAACAAGAUAAUUGCAUUUGUGGCACUUUAUUUCUACUAAAAUUAUGAAUAUAAUCUAAUCUAAGUUAGUGUCCCCCCACAAUAUAAGCAAGGAAAAUAUGUUUUUGUAAUUGGCAGAUGGCAACCGCAGGAGAGCUGUGGAUGAAGAAUUAAGUGAAUGCUGUCAUGGAAUACUUCAAAGCCCAUAUUUCCCAAAGCUUGCAACAACAGUGUAAACUUGCUGAGGGUCCUCUUCUGAAAGAGAGAUCUGUUCAAAACAUGAGAUUUUGUGAGAAAUAGGGGCCUGAUGUCCAAAAAACUACAGGUGUCCAAGGUUAAACAGUAAUUGAUUACUCUUGUUGGCAUGCGAGUAAAAAUUGGAUAUGACCUAUGGUCCUGCUGCUCAUAGGAAAAUGGUUAUGUUGAAUUAAAGACAUUCUGUUCAGUCACCUUUUCAGUAUCUUGUUCAUUCAAAGCUCAAGAGUUGUCUGUUUUUAAAGGAUAACACCACUGUUUUGUUUCUUUUAUGUGAUGCUUAGAUUGUUCUUAUAUGAACAAAUCCCAUUCACAAAAGCCAAAAUAAAUGUCAUUAAAAUGCAUGUCACUUAAUUAAAACCCCAAAAAAACAUUUAGGCCUACUGUUGGCACUUCACAUCAACGUCAGUACGUCGCUCGCGGUUUUUUUCUGUCAGCGUUUAUUUUUUAUGCUUUUGAGAGUGGUGUGCCAUGGGAUUCUGUAAAUUUGGAAAGUGUGCCGCGGAAGGAAAAGUUGGGAAACGCUGCCAUAAGGCGAUGCGCAGUUGGCUAUUUUGUCACCCAGGGUCUGGGAGGCUUCAGUCGGUUAGGGAUUGGUGUUUCAUUGCUCUCUGGCAAUCCCCCGCUAUAUUGAUUGGGCGCCCAUGGCCUGCAUGGAAAAACUGCAUUUGAAAGGUCUUCCUCCAACUCUACUCUAUGGGAUUUUAGCUGCGAGCCAAGAUGUGGAAAGAAGCAGGCUGGUGACACCACAUGUUUUGGAAGAAGAAACACAAAUGUCUUCAUUUUCCCGAAAUGGCAGUGGAGAUUGUGCAUGAACAUGGUUACAAAUAGUCAAUUGGAUAUUCCAAAUUAGGGUGGGAAUUGGAUAUACUCAUUGGAUAUACUUGGACAUGCCAAAUUUAUAUUUGAAAAGCCGUGAUUUUGCACAGAACUAGAGGGAUGAAGCAGUUGGCCCUUAUGACUGUCAUUCAUUUAGCAUUAGCUGUUGUCACGGCUGGCUCAAAAACCAUGACAAAUAACAAGAGAUGACACAAGAAGUUAAAGCAAAAAGAAACAGUCAUUUAUUUUAAACAACAAAAUAUAUGUUGGUACAAGGAAAAACAAAGACGGGGAGCGUGGAGCAUAGGGAGCAGAGUUUCCCCUUCUUCUUCUCAUCAUGGAGCAAGUGGGGUGUGCUCUUAUAGUACUGGGAACACCGGCCCUCUCCUGUCUUCCGCUGACAUCUACCACACAGGUAUAACCUCGCCUCCUGUUGGACAGACUAGUGUUGUAGACAUAAUACUUUAUGUCUUUCCAGGAUCUGUUGUGCAGGAUGUCAGGCUUCGCUUUUAAACAGGCCUCGCAGUCUGGCUUUGCUUUUAAACAGGCAUCGCAGUCCGGCUUCGCUUUUAAACAGGCCUCGCAGUCCGGCUUCGCUUUUAAACAGGCCUCGCAGUCUUUUUUUCCCCAAGGACCCUCAUCUGAGCGAUAAACUUUUGCAGUUCACUUUUCACCGCUGUCUGCUUGGCGACCAUCCACGAGUUCUUCUGUAGUUUCUGUACUGCAGCAUUUUCAGAGUUUGUACCUGUCUCUGCCUUCUGUCUAGGGCUGGGUGUGCUUGGCUCAGGCUUACUUAGUCCAUCUUCACUUGUGGGUGCAGUGGGUGCCAAGGAACAUGGACUAGGAGCAUUUGCAAGCUCAGUGGGUGCAGUGGAACAUGGACCGGAUUCACUUGUGGGCUCAGUGGAUGCAGUGGAACAUGGACCGGAUUCACUUGUGGGCUCAGAGGAUUCACUUCCUCCUGGCUCCAUCUUAGCAAGGUGGUUAUCAUUGUCAGCUGCGGUGUAUUUUCUGGCACACUGCCAGACUCCCGAUGGACUCUGAGCUCGUAGCCCAAAGAUUCCGCCACUUGGUCCCGCUCGUCUUCCUUCAGAUGCAUCAUUUGGCACAGCAUGGCCACAAGUUUUUGCAGCUUGGCUGAAGUCAGGUGCUCAGGGUACUGGGUUCUGCUGUCAGCUGCGUAUUUCCUGAGGCAGUCGCCCCCUCGGACAGGAGAGUCUCACGAAGAUGUGGGGAUCGUCUUGCAGCACCCCAACUGUGCUCCGUGCACUGUUGAGAACUUCAAUCGAUGCAGCCAUGCUUGGAGUCAGGAGCACAGAGACUUUUCUUCCAAAUUUGCCCCGAACCUCAAUCGUGGUACACAUCUUAGCCAGGUGCUGUUCAAGCGGCGUUAGGCUCUCGCCAACCUCAGCAUCAAUCAAACUUAAUUUUUCACGCUCCAAAGCAAUCCUAGCCUGCUCUGUAUCACAAUUCAUUUUUUCCAAAGCCAAUUCUUUAUCAGCUUUAAAUUUCCAACUUCAAAAACCAGUACUCUGGCCUAUCGGCAAAGACAAACCAGUAGUGUCCCCAGCGAUACCUCCCGCUGUACCUAGCAACACAUUCAUCUCAUACAAGUUGGCCUUUAAGAUAGACUUAACUGUGUCCUUGAACCUUUUGUCACUAAUUUCAACAUUAUAAUGAUCUGCAAUUUGCAACAACUGCUCCUUUGUGCAGCCAUCUAACAACAAGUCUGAUGGAGUCUCAAAAAAAUUCUCAACAUGAGCCAUUUUACAAACCCAGACCAAAAGAAGGCAGUAGUCAACACGCUGGCUACAAAAAGGCAAACAGGAGCGUCCCCUCUAUCUGCCUAACCAAAUACAAAGACAAAGACAAGCAGCCAGCGCAACAGCCAAGAGGCAGGGUCGUCAAACAGUAGAUGAAUUUGAAUGAUUUUUGUAUGGAGAUUGCCAGAAACUCAAACCAUACAUUCCAAUUUCACCCGAGUCAUAGAUUACUCUCAGGCUAAAGAAAAUAUAUUGCUGCUUUUAAUUUUGAGAAUUUUUCAACUAAUUCUACUGGUCUACGGACCUUUUGAACUAACUGUGCUGAGUGUUAGAAUGUCCUUGCUAUGCUGCACUUACUGUGUAAUAAAUGAUAUUUGUUAAAGCAGUUCUAUCGGUGGGUACAGGUUCUGUUGUGCAGCUCUGCCCUUAUUACUUGUUGGCGAGGGAGGGGAAGAUUGUCCCAUAAGCUGGCAUUGAUUUAAGUUCUUCAAAUCCCCAGAAGAGACCUGCCUGAACGAUGUACACAUUUGAAUUGACUUGUGGGAUGCCCACAGUGAAGGCUUAUCAUAUUCUCCUUUAGGUAAUUCCACCUAAACUGUACCUCACCCCAUAGGUAAGGGCCUGUGUAUGUCUAUGAUAAUGUCCAGCUGAACCAUACCUGACCCUGUAAGUAAGGUCCCUACUUAGCUUGUGUAUGUGUAUCAUAAUGUCCAGCUAAACCAUACCUGACCCUGUAAGUAAGGGCCCUACUUAUCAUGUGUAUGUGUAUCAUAAUGUCCAGCUAACCCAUGCCUGACUCCAUAAGAAAGGGUCCUACCUGCUUUGUCUGUGUGUAUGGGUAAUAAUCCAUCAUUAUCUUUGGUAACGCCCACUCCCGCCCUGUCCUCAUAUCUCAGUAAAAAGUCAGGUCAUUAGAUCUCUGGACUCUUGCAUUAGAAUUCAAAUCUGAACAGGGCGUUUUCAUCGUGAGCUCAUGUAGAGCAGUUUGAGCAUUUCCAUUUGUCUGUAGGACAAGGGGAAAAGUGUGUCCCCGUAACUCAGCAUAAAACUGGUUUAAAAAAAAGCCCUCAUAUAACAUAAAAACCAGUAUAGGUGUGUGUGACUGAUGAAGCUAGCUAGGUGUGUGUGUGUGUGUGUGUGACUGAUGAAGCAAGCUAGGUGUGUGUGUGUGUGUGACUAAUGAAGCAAGCUAGGUGUGUGUGUGUGUGCAUGUGUGUGACAGUCUGUGUUGAGGUCCCGAUUUCUCUCCUCCCCACAUCUCAUCCCUCUCUCUCCAUUUCAUUUAUAACAGAACACCCGUGCCUUUGGAAAGUGAAGCUUGAGGUCAACAAAGACAAAGACAGGAGGGACAGAUGUAUGGAGGCCUUGUGCAACCAACUAAAUUCUGCACAGACAGAAGUUGUCACAGUCGAUAUCAUUAAAAAAAUUCAAAAACCUGCGGACAACCUUUCAGCGGGAAAAUAAAGCAGCAUCCAGUAAGCGGUCAGGCGAUGGAGCAGAUGACGUUUACAUUCCAAGAUGGAAAUACUAUAAAGACCUGCUUUUCUUGAAAGAAGGAGGAGAACGCAACGAGACUGAAGACAAUAUCCCAUCCCAACCCAUCCAAAUUGAAACCGCAACUCCAGACAAGACGGCUUCCAAAAAUGUAAAAAAACAAAAAACGGGACAUCAGCAAAGCAGAGGUGGCAAUGAAGUAUGCCUUGGAGUGCUUGAAAAGACUAGAACAGAAGCCGGAGUCAGUACAUGCAGGAUUUUUAAAAUAUUUAGAUGAGUGUCUGCAAGAGAAACUGGAGAAGUGUGAAGAGGAAGAUUAUUGAAAUUGUACACACCAAUAUAGAAGAGUAAUCUCAGAACUAGUUUAACCAAUGAGUUUUUUUUAUUACCCAUUUUAUUUAAGUAAUAACAUACAAGAGGAAAGACUAUACUGUAAUUAAUGUUCAAUAAAAUCUAACAAAAUUUCAUUUUAUAA